CUGGCUCAGGACGAACGCUGGCGGCGUGCUUAACACAUGCAAGUCGAACGAUGAAGCCGCUUCGGUGGUGGAUUAGUGGCGAACGGGUGAGUAACACGUGGGUAAUCUGCCCUGCACUCUGGGAUAAGCCUUGGAAACGAGGUCUAAUACCGGAUAUGACACACGGAGGCAUCUCCUGUGUGUGGAAAGUUCCGGCGGUGCAGGAUGAACCCGCGGCCUAUCAGCUUGUUGGUGGGGUAGUGGCCUACCAAGGCGACGACGGGUAGCCGGCCUGAGAGGGUGACCGGCCACACUGGGACUGAGACACGGCCCAGACUCCUACGGGAGGCAGCAGUGGGGAAUCUUGCGCAAUGGGCGAAAGCCUGACGCAGCAACGCCGCGUGGGGGAUGACGGCCUUCGGGUUGUAAACCUCUUUCGACAGGGACGAAGCUUUCGGGUGACGGUACCUGUAGAAGAAGCACCGGCUAACUACGUGCCAGCAGCCGCGGUAAU
rnacentral:rRNA from 1 species